rnacentral:rRNA from 1 species
UACGUAGGGAGCAAGCGUUGUCCGGAAUCAUUGGGCGUAAAGCGCGCGUAGGCGGCCUCGUAAGUCCGUUGUGAAAGUCAAAGGCUCAACCUUUGAAAGCCGAUGGAUACUGUGAGGCUAGAGUCCGGAAGAGGCGAGUGGAAUUCCUGGUGUAGCGGUGGAAUGCGCAGAUAUCAGGAGGAACACCAAUAGCGAAGGCAGCUCGCUGGGACGGUACUGACGCUGAGACGCGAAAGCGUGGGGAGCAAACAGG